GACUAAGCGUACAUGGUGGAUGCCUUGGCAGUCAGAGGCGAUGAAGGACGUACUAACCUGCGAUAAGCUGUGAGAAGUCGGUAAGAGACGCUAUUACUCACAGAUUUCCGAAUGGGGAAACCCACCCAAGAUAACUUGGGUAUCGUUACAUGAAUACAUAGUGUAACGAGGCGAACCGGGAGAACUGAAACAUCUAAGUACCCCGAGGAAAAGAAAUCAACCGAGAUUAAGGACGUA
rnacentral:rRNA from 1 species